rnacentral:rRNA from 1 species
GAUGAACGCUGGCGGCGUGCCUAAUACAUGCAAGUCGAGCGAACAGACGAGGAGCUUGCUCCUCUGACGUUAGCGGCGGACGGGUGAGUAACACGUGGAUAACCUACCUAUAAGACUGGGAUAACUUCGGGAAACCGGAGCUAAUACCGGAUAAUAUAUUGAACCGCAUGGUUCAAUAGUGAAAGACGGUUUUGCUGUCACUUAUAGAUGGAUCCGCGCCGCAUUAGCUAGAUGGUAAGGUAACGGCUUACCAAGGCGACGAUGCGUAGCCGACCUGAGAGGGUGAUCGGCCACACUGGAACUGAGACACGGUCCAGACUCCUACGGGAGGCAGCAGUAGGGAAUCUUCCGCAAUGGGCGAAAGCCUGACGGAGCAACGCCGCGUGAGUGAUGAAGGUCUUCGGAUCGUAAAACUCUGUUAUUAGGGAAGAACAAAUGUGUAAGUAACUAUGCACGUCUUGACGGUACCUAAUCAGAAAGCCACGGCUAACUACGUG